GAGGAAACUGCAGCCUGAAGUGAAGGGACUAGCUUAAGAUCACACAGCUUGUUUUUAUUAUUUCUUUUCUUCUAUGUCCUGAACUCUGACCUUUGCCCAUGAGUUCAGCAGGACUGUUGUGCUUUGCUGGGGUCUAGCUCUCUGCGCUGCUGCGUUCAGGGAAUUAUUUAUACCCGAGCCAAGAGCAGGGGUGAUCAUGGGCCUCACUUUGUGUGGUUGCCGUCUGUGGAUGGUUGCAUUUCCUUAAAUGACCACACAUUUCCUAUUCCCAUAUUUUUCUUACAAUGUGACUUCAACAUUCCUCCCACCAAUUGUGGGGUCUGUGUUCUAUCCCCUUGACCUGAGGUUUGUGUCUGCUCCAUCCAAUGGAGUACAGCAGAAGUGAGGCUAUGCAACUUCCUAGUCUAGAUCAUAAAGAGGACACAACUUUUUCUUCUUCUCCUUUUCUCCUUCUCCUCCUUCUGGAUGGAGACCCAGACACCAUGUAUUGAGGCAGCCCAAACUACCCGACGUGAAGAGACCAUGUGGAUAAGCCCAUAUGGAUAACUGAGGCCCCCAGCUGACAGCCAACAACUACCAGACAGGCACAUCCUAAGAUGAAAUUCUCUCCAUCUGGGGCCACCGCAGGCACGGGUGCAGAGGACACAUCUGGAGCCAAACAGCUUUCAAUGGGGUGGAGAAGGAGGGCAGCAUGCCAUGUAAGAGAGGAACUGAGGAGGAAAGGAAGAUGAGAAAGGCAAAGGGGUUUAUUGGAAGAAGCUCAGUCCACAGCCAGGGUAUCAGAAGAGUGAUGGGAGGAGAAUGGCUUUGGAGUAGGGAUUCUCAAAGCACAGUCCGAAUAUCACCCACAGUGAAAAUACUGUGGUGACAAAUUGCUAUAUCCAAUACCAUUAUUUCUUCCUCUGGUGGGAGUGGGGUUAGGGAUGGCAAUGAGGACUUGAAAAAAAAUAAUAAUGGUAAAUACUUGUUCAGAAAUUAACACGUGUUGUGUAUGUGCUGUAGCUUUACAUAAAUCACGUCACUGAAUAUUUGCAGCUUCCCUAUGAGAAAGCUACUAUUAUAAGCAUUCUUAUCUUUAAGAUGAAGAAAUUGAGGCACAGAGAAAGAAUACUUGUCCAAAGUUACAAAUCUAGUAAUGGAGCCAGGGUUCAAACCCGGAAUAUAAGGCCAGAUCUUGGGCCCUUCAACUCUACACUAUCUUGCCUCAAGUCAAAUUUAUACAAUGUGGGCCGGCCCAGUGGCACAUUGGUUAAGAGCUGGCUUGG